AACCUCUUGUAGUUUUGCAAGGCCGCAUCUUCACUAUGUUACUUUCUUUCCUAUAAACAGUGAUAGAUAAAGGAAUGAGGUUUUGUUUAUUAUGUUGUUCGUUUAUUAGUGUCGAGCCCGUUGUUGUGCAUCAUCUUGUCUAUCUAGUUCUAUCUUCAUCUAUCGGAUUAGUAUUUCAUUGGGUUGAAAUGGGAGCAUUAAGAGAGUUUUUUUUCUAAA
rnacentral:lncRNA from 1 species